AAUCAAGAUCCGCGUAACAGUUUACAUUUUCAUAAUUUUUUUUCUGUAAAUAUUCACAUUUUCGGUAUUGCCGGCCUUCGGCCGGGUGAAGGGACUUUUAACUCUGGGGUGUAUCGAACACCGGCUUCGCUAAAAUCACUUUUUCUGUAUAUCAAAAUUUUCGGAUGUACUGUCAUAUAAAAUAAAAAAGGAAUUUUUGGUUCACAAUAUUAAUAAAUUGUACCAUAUUAUAUAUCAUAUUAAAGGUAUUGUGAAGCACUAUUAAAUGAUACCCAUAACGAUCAGUUUGUUUUCCAAAUAUAUGAGAAAUGUACUAUUAUAUGUAUUGACUUUAAAUUCAUAUAACUCUUAAACUAAGAGAGAGCAGGCAAAAAUAUUAAUGUUUUUGUGCUUCUAAUUAUGAGAGCUAUCAACACCAAAGAAAUUAUAAAAAUGCAAGCUGUUUCGCUGAUCUUGAUUUAUACCUCAAUAUUAUAAUAAACAAUAUUAUAAAAGUUAAAGUUUAAUUUUGUAGUAGUGGUAACACCUGUCAAUGAUAUCAAAUGCAACACUACAAAAAUAAGUUGCAAAAAAAUAUAAAUGAAAAAAAAACAUAAACAAAAUAUGUUUGCAAUUGCGUAGUACGAUUACAAAAUCAAAGACUAUAUUCGUGCCAUAGACGGAAUAUAAGCUACUAGGAAAAGUGUUCUGCCUGGUGGUGGCAAUGACGACGAUCCUGAGUAAAGUAAAUUCGAAGAAGCUAUUGUUGAAGGUGCUGGAAAAAGUUAUUCCAUUGUUUGGCCAUGCAAUGUAACCUGAAAAAUUUCUAAAUUGGUGAUUAUUUACAAUUAAAGCAAAAAUCUGAAAAGAGUCUCAAAGAGCCUUAGUUUAUGGAACUCUGGUUGAAUGUUUUGGUGCUUUAAAUUUCGAUACAUUCUGUACCUUAAUAAUUGAAAGUCUUUCUGAUCAAUUUUAUCAUGCACUUCAAAAUGCUGUUUUCAGUUGUAUUGUGAGAAAAUAUUAUUUGUAUCUUAUACACAUAUUUUAUUGGUUUUGUCUCCAUUAAACAAAUACUUGCCGUUGCCAUUCAAGUUUUGUGUAAAAAAGAUUUCGUUGAUAAGGGUACCUACGACAAUGCCAUUCAUUGGUUUGCUAAGAGAAUCCAUGAGAAUUCCCUUGACAAAUUUGGAGAGAUAGAUAAUUCGAGUCCAGAUAUUUUGUAGUUUUUGCAAACUACAUAAGAAUUUUGAGUUUUUUAAAAAAAGAAAGGCUGAGUUUUUAAAAAUAGUUCGAAGGCAGUUCUAAAAUCUAUUUUUUGGGAAGUUUGGCACAUUUAUAAUUUAAGAUUCUUGAAAGGCAAAAAGAUAAUGCAAACAUUUCAAUUUAAUCAUUAUGAAAUUUUAUUUUCGUCCCAGCAAACAAAAAAUUGUACUUUUAAUUAAUUUGAGCAAUUCUUCAAAAUCAACCAACCACUUUUUGUAAAUAAAUAAAACUUUGUUGUUAGAAAUAUAAAA